rnacentral:tRNA from 1 species
UUUAAUAUGGCAGAUAAAGUGCAAUGGAUUUAAAUCCCAUAAAUAAAGUAAUUAUAUUCUUUUAUUAAAA